rnacentral:rRNA from 1 species
AGCGAACGCUGGCGGCAGGCCCAACACAUGCAAGUCGAGCGGGCGUAGCAAUACGUCAGCGGCAGACGGGAGAGUAACACGUGGGAACGUGCCCUUUGGUUCGGAAUAACUCAGGGAAACUUGAGCUAAUACCGGAUAAGCCCUUCGGGGGAAAGAUUUAUUGCCAUUGGAGCGGCCCGCGUCGGAUUAGCUAGUUGGUGAGGUAAUGGCUCACCAAGGCGACGAUCCGUAGCUGGUCUGAGAGGAUGACCAGCCUCACUGGGACUGAGACACGGCCCAGACUCCUACGGGAGGCAGCAGUGGGGAAUAUUGGACAAUGGGCGCAAGCCUGAUCCAGCCAUGCCGCGUGGAUGAUGAAGGCCCUAGGGUUGUAUAGUCCUUUUAACGGGGAAGAUAAUGACGGUACCCGUAGAAUAAGCCCCGGCUAACUUCGUGCCAGCCGCCGCUGUAA